rnacentral:rRNA from 1 species
UCGGGAAUUUUGGGCAAUGGGGGAAACCCUGACCCAGCAACGCCGCGUGAAGGAUGAAGUAUUUCGGUAUGUAAACUUCGAAAGAAUAGGAAGAAUAAAUGACGGUACUAUUUAUAAGGUCCGGCUAACUACGUGCCAGCAGCCGCGGUAAUACGUAGGGUGCAAGCGUUAAUCGGAAUUACUGGGCGUAAAGCGUGCGCAGGCGGUUGCGUAAGUCAGAUGUGAAAUCCCCGGGCUCAACCUGGGAAUUGCAUUUGAGACUGCACGGCUAGAGUGUGUCAGAGGGGGGUAGAAUUCCACGUGUAGCAGUGAAAUGCGUAGAUAUGUGGAGGAAUACCGAUGGCGAAGGCAGCCCCCUGGGAUAACACUGACGCUCAUGCACGAAAGCGUGGGGAGCAAACAGGAUUAGAUACCCACGUAGUCCCUGAGCGGGCUGGCAAGGCGCAU